AUUUGUCUGGUUAAUUCCGAUAACGAACGAGACCUUAACCUGCUAACUAGACUUUUUCAUUUUAUGAUUAAGUCUUCUUAGAGGGACUAUAUGCUUUAAGUAUAUGGAAGUUUGAGGCAAUAACAGGUCUGUGAUGCCCUUAUAUGUCCUGGGCUGCACGCGUGCUACACUGAUGUAUACAACAAGUGCCUAGCUAGAUAUAGUAUGGCAAUCUCGAAUAUGCAUCGUGAUGGGGAUAGAUCUUUGCAAUUAUAGAUCUUGAACGAGGAAUUCCUAGUAAGUGCAAGUCAUCAUCUUGCAUUGAUUAUGUCCCUGCCCUUUGUACACACCGCCCGUCGCUCCUACCGAUACCGGGUGAUCCGGUGAACCUGUUGGACACUUUUGAGAAAAACAAGUAAAUCAUAUCACCUAGAGGAAGGAGAAGUCGUAACAAGGUUUCCGUAGGUGAACCUGCRGAAGGAUCA
rnacentral:rRNA from 1 species